UCUUUUCUUUUCUUUUUUUUUAAAGUAAUCAAUUUUCAUUGCCAUAUAUAUUAGUUCAAGAUGGACUGGGGCCAAAAUCAUAACAGCAAUAGCAGUUUCCUCGGCUGAGCCCAUUUGUCUCUAGGAGUCACGGCUGAAUUAGUCACAUGACCAUCUGGGCUGCCAGUCUCCUCUUCCUCCCGUCUUCCUUCGUUAGAACCAUCAGAUAGUCUCUGAGAUCUUAGGAACCCUGUUUUGUUGUAUAUCCUCUGCCCUGGUAUGAAGAAAAGAUGAUUCUUACUGUGGGCUUUAGCUUUUUGUUUUUCUACAGGGGCAUGCUGUGUGACAAAGUAACUCAGAGUUCCCCGGACCAGAUGGUGGCGAGUGGCAGUGAGGUGGUACUGCUCUGCACUUACGACAGUACAUAUUCAGAUCCAGGUUUAUUCUGGUACCGCAUAAGGCCAGAUUAUAAUUUUCAGUUUGUCUUCUAUGGGGAUAAAAGCAGAUCUCAAGGUUCAUAUUUUGCUAAAGGACGGUUUUCUGUGAGGCACCAUCUGACCCAGAGAGCCUUUCACUUGGUAAUCUCUCCAGUGAGUACUGAAGACAGUGCCACUUACUACUGUGCCAUGAGCACGAUGAUGCAGGUGCCCAGGAAGUCUUAACACAAACUCCUGGGGCAUGGCUCAGCAGAGCUACCUCUCAGGGUGGGUGAUGUCUGGGACUUGGCAUCUUUCUCUUAGCCAUUUUGUGUUUCAGCCUGGCCUUUAGAAGUGACCUAAAGUGUCUUCUGAGAAAUAAAUGGCCUGGUCAGAUCCAGGGGAGCACCCUGGCUUCAGAGAAGCAGAACAUCUCCCCACUUCUGACUCAGUGGGCCCUUGCCACCUGAAUGACUCCUGGUAGGCAAGGGAGAACUGCAUGUUUAGGGAGCAUUGUCUUUGUGUCCCCGGUUCCCUGGUCAGCCCUGAUACAGAAUGGGGCUUGACAAGCCUGUGCUGCAUUUCCUGUGAGGGUUUCAGAAUGCAGGUUCAGGUGCAGGUGAAGGGCCCAUCAAGGUGAGGUCGCCAGUAGUGUCUUUAUUUUAGUCACCACCAUCAUUUAUCCAUUAUUAUGAAUAGGUCUGUUUUCAUUUCAGAAUUAAAUUAGGGCCAGAUGUGGUGGCUCAUGC